rnacentral:misc_RNA from 1 species
GAAAUGCGAUAAGUAAUGUGAAUUGCAGAAUUCAGUGAAUCAUCGAAUCUUUGAACGCACAUUGCGCCCGCCAGUAUUCUGGCGGGCAUGCCUGUUCGAGCGUCAUUUCAACCAUCAAGCCCGGGGCUUGUGUUGGGGACCUGCGGCUGCCGCAGGCCCCGAAAACCAGUGGCGGGCUCGCUGUCACACCGGGCGUAGUAGAUUUUUCGUCUCGCCCAGGGCGUGCUGCGGGUUCCGGCCGUUAAAAAGCCUCUCUUUUAACCCAAGGUUGACCUCGGAUCAGGUAGGAAGACCCGCUGAACUUAAGC